rnacentral:rRNA from 1 species
CCUACGGGAGGCAGCAGUGAGGAAUAUUGGUCAAUGGACGAGAGUCUGAACCAGCCAAGUAGCGUGAAGGAUGACUGCCCUAUGGGUUGUAAACUUCUUUUAUAUGGGAAUAAAACAGGGUAUGCAUACCCUCUUGUAUGUACCAUAUGAAUACGGAUCGGCUAACUCCGUGCCAGCAGCCGCGGUAAUACGGAGGAUCUGAGCGUUAUCCGGAUUUAUUGGGUUUAAAGGGAGCGUAGGUGGAUUGUUAAGUCAGUUGUGAAAGUUUCCGGCUCAACCGUAAAAUUGCAGUUGAAACUGGCAGUCUUGAGUACAGGAGAGGUGGGCGGAAUUCGUGGUGUAGCGGUGAAAUGCUUAGAUAUCACGAAGAACUCCGAGGGCGAAGGCAGCUCACUGGACUGCAACUGACACUGAUGCUCGAAAGUGUGGGGAUCAAACAGGAUUAGAUACCCUUGUAGUC